GCUGCUCUAUGUACCUUUGAAUCAACAAACUCAAGAAGUGGAGGGAUACCAUGGCCUUCAGUCCUAUAGUCACAAAAUAAAAUCAAAGCAAGAAAAAUAGGUAUUAUUUCUAUAGAUGCUUCAAUAACAAUGUUUUCAGAUAAGAAUAAUCAAACCUAACAUGAGUUUUUAUGCUACUGUUCUAAUGAGCAAGAUUGUAACUGUAUCAGUUGCCCGUUGAAUAGCACCAUUGACUCCUCAAGAGUUCUAAGCAUUUAUGUGCCUCUUCAGCAGAUUAAGAAUAUGAUGCAAACAACAUUAAUAACAAGACGAGACAAAGCUACAACAGAUAAAGAAGAUAAGAUAAAAUCUUUUGCAACACAGUAAUAUAGAGCUUUUCAAAUUGAAGUUUCCUCCACCUCACUUUUUGUUGUAUCUAGGAGCCUCUAGUAUGUCUUAUAACACAUUCCAUAGGAACUCUUACCACUGUUUCUUGUCAUUACUGGAUAUGAAUAUGUAGUUAACAUCUUGAUCAAGUUUUUAAGUUGAAGCCUAAGGUGAUUACUUGAUUUACCAAGCAUUGUCUUUGACUGUUG
rnacentral:lncRNA from 1 species